UACGUAGGGACCAAGCGUUGUCCGGAAUCAUUGGGCGUAAAGCGCGUGUAGGCGGUCCGGUAAGUCCGCUGUGAAAGUCGAGGGCUCAACCCUCGAAUGCCGGUGGAUACUGUCGGGCUUGAGUACGGAAGAGGAGAGUGGAAUUCCUGGUGUAGCGGUGAAAUGCGCAGAUAUCAGGAAGAACACCCGUGGCUAAGGCGGCUCUCUAGUACGGUACUGACGCUGAGACGCGAAAGCGUGGGGAGCGAACAGG
rnacentral:rRNA from 1 species